GAUUCCAUCUACAUAAAGAACAAAUAAAUUAUAUUAAUCAUAGUUAAUUGUGAUUGCAGCAGUAUAUAGUUCAUGUGUAUUGCAGCAGCAAGUCUGUGUGCAUUUCAUAUACUAUACUAAAAGUAGAACAACCCAAACAAUUAUUAACUAAUUAAUUGGUCAGGUGAGUAAGUCCCUGCCAAAUAUGCCAAGAUAUUAUAUCAAUCCACCACUUAUAUUGUCUUACAAAAUAUUUAAAUGAAAUACAAACUUAAAGUAAAGUCCAAGAA
rnacentral:lncRNA from 1 species